AAAAUGAUUUUUUUAAAAAUCACCUUUACACUCAAAAACUGUAUU
rfam:Octopus bimaculoides Scaffold15648_contig_153, whole genome shotgun sequence.